UACGUAGGGUGCAAGCGUUAAUCGGAAUUACUGGGCGUAAAGCGUGUGUAGGCGGCAAUGCAAGUCGGGCGUGAAAUCCCACGGCUCAACCCGUGGAAGUGCACUCGAAACUGCAUAGCUAGAGUCCUGGAGAGGAACGGUGGAAUGCUUGGUGUAGAGGUGAAAUUCGUAGAUAUCAAGCGGAACACCGGUGGCGAAGG
rnacentral:rRNA from 1 species